UGUUCGAUGAAAGAGUUUGAACCCCCGACAAUGAUUGGAAGCUUACGGUGGCUCAAGAUAUCUUCCAUGGCGAGUGAGGUCAUGUCACAGAAGUCUUGAGCUGUGAAAUCUGCAUUGGGCUUUACUACCCCAAGCAAAUGGGAAAAGGGUCGCCAAGUCAAUGGAUAGCCUCGAUUUUCCAGUCCCUGUUGCCCCCAUCACGAUCACCACCUUGUCCUUUGGACGCCUUUGAGUAAAGGUCAAUAUAUCAGAGUGGAGUCAAAGUUGAAGAAAGGGUGGCAAACUUGAUAUGAGAAGAUAAUAUAAUUAAGUUGGCAAUGGCAGCCUCACCUUAGGAGUGCAAUAAAUGUUGGACGCGGCAACCUGAAUGAGUUUUGAGAUGGUCUGCAAACAGGUAACACGUACUCUUGUUGCCUUUAUUGUUAAAUUCUAGUAUAGAAAAAGGGUAAUAAAUGCAAGCAAACAAAAUAUAUUUAAUAUAAAGUUCAGUCUACUUCUUAACUCAAAUAGCAAGGUGAGACCAAGUAUUUAUAAGGGCUGUAUAUUAUAUACGCCAAAUGUGUCAAGUGGAGCUUUCUUUUCAAACUGAAAAAAAAAAAGUGGCCACAGUGCUAUUCUUUUAGUGAAGAGAGAGUAUAUAGUUAUUCUCUGUAGAAAAAAGUUUGAUUUUUUUGUUUUGUUUCUUGUGUUUUGGAAUUCUAUUUCAUAUUUAGCACUAAAAGAAUUUCAGAACAUGGAAGGGAAAGGGAUGGGCCAAAAUAAUAAUGUCCUUAGUGGUUUUCGUAUUAUUGGAUGAAGAGAGUACUCAACAAUUUGCAUUAGAAUAUGACCUUUUAUUUAUUUGGGCUUUCUUCUUUCAAA